AUUGAACGCUGGCGGCAGGCCUAACACAUGCAAGUCGGACGGUAGCACAGAGGAGCUUGCUCCUCGGGUGACGAGUGGCGGACGGGUGAGUAAUGUCUGGGGAUCUGCCCGAUAGAGGGGGAUAACCACUGGAAACGGUGGCUAAUACCGCAUAACGUCGCAAGACCAAAGAGGGGGACCUUCGGGCCUCUCACUAUCGGAUGAACCCAGAUGGGAUUAGCUAGUAGGCGGGGUAACGGCCCACCUAGGCGACGAUCCCUAGCUGGUCUGGGAGGAUGACCAGCCACACUGGAACUGAGACACGGUCCAGACUCCUACGGGAGGCAGCAGUGGGGAAUAUUGCACAAUGGGCGCGAGCCUGAUGCAGCCAUGCCGCGUGUAUGAAGAAGGCCUUCGGGUUGUAAAGUACUUUCAGCGGGGAGGAAGGCGAUGUGGUUAAUAACCGCAUUGAUUGACGUUACCCGCAGAAGAAGCACCGGCUAACUCCGUGCCAGCAGCCGCGGUAA
rnacentral:rRNA from 1 species